rnacentral:rRNA from 1 species
GGUAAGCUGGUGGUGGAGGGCGCGGAAAGAGAGAGGGUGUAAGCGGUAAUCGGAGUUGCGGGGCGUAAUGCGGGAGUAGGGGGCGGGCUAAGUAGAGUGGGAAAGCCCUGGGCUCAACCUGGGAAUUGCAGUCGAUACUGGAGAGGUAGAGUUCGGUAGAGGGUGACGGAAUUCCCGGGGUAGCGGUGAAAUGCGUAGAUAUCGGGGGGAACAUCGAUGGCGAAGGCAAUCACCUGGGCCUGAACUGACACUGAGACACGAAAGCGUGGGUAGCAAACAGGAUUAGAUUCCCUUGCAGUC